UGGGGCAUAUUGCACAAUGGGCGCAAGCCUGAUGCAGCCAUGCCGCGUGUGUGAAGAAGGCCUUCGGGUUGUAAAGCACUUUCAGCGGGGAGGAAGGCGUUAAGGUUAAUAACCUUGGCGAUUGACGUUACCCGCAGAAGAAGCACCGGCUAACUCCGUGCCAGCAGCCGCGGUAAUACGGAGGGUGCAAGCGUUAAUCGGAAUUACUGGGCGUAAAGCGCACGCAGGCGGUGUGUUAAGUCAGAUGUGAAAUCCCCGGGCUCAACCUGGGAACUGCAUCUGAUACUGGCAAGCUUGAGUCUCGUAGAGGGGGGUAGAAUUCCAGGUGUAGCGGUGAAAUGCGUAGAGAUCUGGAGGAAUACCGGUGGCGAAGGCGGCCCCCUGGACGAAGACUGACGCUCAGGUGCGAAAGCGUGGGGAGCAAACAGG
rnacentral:rRNA from 1 species